UUGGUUUCAAUUGCUGUCAAAUGGGGACAGUCACUGCAUUUUUGUAAGAUUUUUGCAUAAAAGCCUUCCCUCACUGUUCCCUGCCCAGCACCAGCCAUGGUAACAAAGACUAUUGCAAGGGUAUCAUCCAAUUAGCAGCAAAAUGGAAAACUACAGUGCUCCCACUGGAAGAUUAUGGUUUAUGUACAGUAAUUUGGAGCUGUUUUGGGUACAAAAGGCCUGCUUGUACACAGCAGCAGAGGGUCAGACUGCAAACAGAACCGGAACACUUACUGUGGGGCUCUCAGGAAGCAAGUUAACCUCGGAAUGAUCAGCAGCCCAGAAUCCCCUGACACAGAGGGCCAGGAACGGUGGGGAGACAGAAGGAAAGACACCAAACCCCUCCCUCACUCCUGGUUUUCCCUGGGCCCUCGUGGAAGUGCUGUGCUCCUGUGAGUUUGUGGCUGAGCCCAUGCACAGCCCCACACCGAGCUGCUGGUGCAGCCCAGCCUGCCAGCCACCCCACGAGCACCACAGGGAAAAUCGCUCCCUGGAGCAUCCCGGGAUUCUGCAGGAGCUACAAGGGGGUGGAUCCUCACAACAAACAGCACAGAAACACAGACACCCCUCCAUACCAUGCUCAGUUAUCAAGCCAAAUUCCCUCCCAGUUUUUCAGGCACUAAAGCAGAACACCUCGUUCCCUGGACUGGGCUGGCAGAGAUUUGUGCCCCUUUCCCUUGACUGACACCUGCCAAUUCCCAGGCUGCAGCUGCAGCUUCAGCAAGGUGCUGCCCGGUGGAAUGGCAUCCUCCUUGCCAAAUAAACAGCUCCCACACGAGCUGUUUGCAGAAACUGAAGUGCUCUGCCUGCUCCUGAAUACCAAACAGCUGCUCACCUUUAGGAAGAGUUUGUUCCCACCCAUCCCCUGCCUUCAGUUUAAUCCAAUGUAUGUCUUUCUUACUCGUUACAAAACGAGCCAGGGAGGAGAACUGCAGAGGAAGCUCUGAAAAAGGAAUGGCAGCAUGGGGGCAUUCCAAUUAAAAUGUACUCUUCUGAGCUUGGCAAGUCCCCGUGCCAAGCCAACUGAGUACGGACGGGACUUCUAUGAGCACAUCAAUUCAAGAUACAGUGCAGAGCAGCAACUGCAAAUUGGCCAUUAUGUUAUCUCUGCUGGCAAAUUCUUUAUUAAUAUACUGAGGAAGAGCACGCUAAAAUCAGGAGAGGGCCGAGUGCCCCAAUUAACACUGAUGUUUUCCAGCUCACAUCGUCAAUCCUAUGGAAAAUUUAUAAAUAUAACUAUUGAAUUCUAAGGCCAGUUUUUUUCUGUCCCUCAGCUGUCCUUUUAGUCCAUCCUUGCAAUGAAAAUAAUGCAAAUGAGUUCCGGAAAGUCCAGUGUUAGGGUUACAUUGUUACACAAAACAGAUGAAGAUUAAUUAUUUCUGUGAAACAGUAUUUCAGUCUCUGCUUACCUCAAAAGUCACUGAUGAGGGCACCUUCAUGACCAUAAACUGCAGUCACUCAAGCCCCUCACACAUACACUCUUAACAAUGAAUGAAUGAAUGAAUAAAUAAAAGCGAAAAGAAAGUGCUGGAUUCACUGUAGUCAUGACUCAGCCACGCUUAAGUAAGCAAGGAGAUGAACUGUCAGGGGCUGCUUCUUGGUUUUGAGCUGAUCAGCUGAACUACUGAAAGGUUCCUUCAUGAACAAGUCUGUAGCUGCAUUGAAUAUGUGAAAAAUAAUUAAAAAAGAAUAAUUUGGUGUAUGAUAAUAUGGUAAAAAGGCCUCGUGGCAUACACUUAGAGUAGUUGUAUUUCCAGGCAGCUGACUAGAUUAUAUCUAAAAUAAUUCAAGCUGCACUACAGAAUGCCAAGCCUGAAAGCUAAAAUACCAUAAGAGUGAAGCUGGAAUUCCUCCUGCUCUGUUUGUGCAGAAGACGUAUCUGAAGCCAAAGCCCCUCCAAACUAUCAGCCAUCACACGCACCUACACUGCAGGACUGCAUGUUAAUUAUUCUGUGCUCCAAAUGACUCUGAUGCAGGAACAGCCUCCCCAUGAACAGAAAAGGGGAAACCUGCUUGUAAGGCAGGUAUUUAAAGAGUGUGGCAUCACAGGAGCCUCUCGUGGGGAUGGCUGAAGCACAGUGCACAGAGGGAGGAUGAAGACGUUUGCUCUCGGCUGUUUACUGCAUACUGAAUUUGCAUUGUGGAUACCAUCAGCAGAGGCCAUCACCAAAUUCUUCAAGUCAUGAGGUCAAGACUGGGUUUGUUCAAUGUCUUUCUUUCACUGCAGGUUGAGUAUCCUGAAGCUACCCUAGAGCAGUUUAUUAGAACAAUCACAGAUUUUGUUCAGAUGGACUUAGUGCUAGAGGCAUGAGUAAACAACAAGAAAAGAAAAAUUAACUUUGAAAAGUAUUCAAGGAAAGUAUUGUGUACUUGGGAAACUUGGAAAAUGUUCUUACACACUGAGCAUGUAAUUAUAUUCCUUGUGAUCAAUGGCUAUGUCUGCGUAUGGAAUUUAUCCUUUAUUUUCUCCACUUAAUGAAAAUGGGAUUUUUUUCCCUCCAUAUCCCAAUUUCUUUCAGGACUAUAAUGUAGCCCAGGAUUCCAUUUUCUAAUCAUGAAUUUUUGAAGGAGCCUCGUUAAGGCUCCAGAGCAGUGAUUUUCUGCGCCAGUGAGCCUGCCUUUUUUUAUUAACAGAGAUUGAUUUUCUCCAUCUUGGCAUGUGAUGUUCCACGGUAUAUCCUCUGGAUCAUCACCCUGUAACGUGCAGCGGUAUCAACAGCACAGGAUGGGAAUACUUCAACUUCAAUGUUAUCAGAAAUAACAGCUUUUAGAUCAUCAGUGAGAAGACUGAAGCCGGUAUUUCCUGAGCCACCAAAAGCCAUUUGCUACAGCAAUGGAAAAUGACAAUUACCUUAAAGCAAUGUAUUUUGUAUCAGAUAUAGCACAGUUUCCACAGAUAGCUUCCAAUCCCACAAUGCUGUCCAUUUUGCUUAAGUUUACUUAUUUUGAGGAAUCCUGGUGAUGCCAGUGGGAGCAACUCACAAUCUGAGUACGUACAGAUCUUGUGGGACUCUUUGACCGUGUAACUGUGACUGUAUACAACACUGGCAGUCACAGCAAAAGAUGAUACCCAAAAAGCUGUGUGGGCUUUGAAGACAGGUGUGGGAUCAGCUCAGUGAGGAGCAUCAUUCUGGCUAUGCCUCUUCCAGGUGAGUUUUCAAAAAGACUUUGCAGGUAGCCCAAAGCCCUCAGUAAGGCCGAACUAACUGCUACCAGACAAGCCACCUGCUGAUGAAGAGGGAUUUGUGGAAGAGUGUAAUUCCCCUUGAAUUCACUUCAUCUGUACUGGCCGUACAACCAUGGAAGGAAGAAAAUUAGAUCAAAAAUUAUAUAAAGAAGAGACACUGAAUUUAUUCAGGAAAACGACUUAAUGACAGGAGUGAUAGGAAGGCAAAGUUUUCCUGCAGAGUGAUCCCAAACAACUCCAUAGCAUGGAUCUUCCUUACUGCUAGUGCAAUAAACAGGAAUUUAUCAAGUGAAACACAAACUGUCAGUGAUGUGUAAAAUUAUUUAGUACAAAGCUUCUGUGAAGAGUACAAUGGAGCCCAAGGAAGCAGCUGGAUAACCAGUAUCUCCAGAAAGAUUCCAGGUUGUCACUAGGUAUUCUCUGAAUCUAUGAGAAAAGCACUGAAAAGAUCCUGUAAUGAUUCCCUUGACAUCGUUCCUUUGCACAGCAAAUCAAAUGCACAAACUCAGGGAAAAAUGCCCACAGUGAACUGAAGUAGAGAACAUAUUAAUUACAAAUACAGAGUUUUAGAGGUGUGAGUUUUGUUCAUUACUCUUUUUCUACCCUUAUCAGUGACUCAGUUUGAAAAGCUGUCCAAGUCAUCUUUGCCCAGAUUUUUGAGUGGCAUUUAGGCACAUCAAUAACCAACUAUUUAAAGCUGGGUGUGCUCUCAGUGUGCUCUGCCCAUGGAAUGGAUGCACUGCCUGAUGACCCAAGGGAAAAGACUCAAUGACUGUAAACAAUGCUGAAAUUUAAUUGAGACAGGAACUAUGCAUAAUCAUAUUAUUGUUCCCCUGUCUUUUGGUGAUGCUUCACUUUUUCAACUGUGUUGAUUAACUAAAGCAUUCCUUAACUGGGGCAAGAGAACUAAGGCAUGAUACAUACAGAAAGAAGGUAUUCUUCUGAAUACUGCAGAGGAAAUCAAUCCUGCUGGAGAAAGCCUGUAUUGUGGCUUAAAACUUCUGCAAGAUGCCCAGGACUCCACCCCACAGAUGUCAAACACAGGUCUCUUUCCUAAUCCAUCCCACCAAGUUUUGACAUAGAAUUUACCUGGUGUGAAUAAGGAGGACAGAAGAUCCACUUUACCUCAAAUUCUUCUCUUCUGCCUCAUGUUCACCUCUGAUGAUCCUGGAACCAUUGUAGAGAGAAACCUCUGCCAGUACCUGAAGGAUCAAGUCUUAUUUGAAUACAUCCUAAUGCUUGCAUCUACCCUCUUUUAAUUGCUGCAGCUUUAGGACAUCAGACUUGCCAGUCCUAGUUCAGAAUCAGUAGAAUUCAAAUAAAAUAAAAGGAAGAAACUAGUCUUUAAACAUUGUCUGUUUUGUGAAACUUGAGAAGGUUCAUUAAGCAGUAAAUGCCUGUCAGGUUUUCUGAAGGCUUUAAACCAGACUAACAGAGAAGAUCAAUGUGUGUGUUACAGUUCUGUUAUUACCUAGAAGCCAUUUUUAAAAUCAUAUUUAAUUUUUAUUGUUUCCCACAUACAGAAUCCCUGUUACUGCUCCAGAAACUGCAGAGGAAAGCCUAUAUGUCCAUUUGUAAUUAGGCCUCUUUGGAGACAGAUCUUCUUACACUUAUACUCAUGUAGGCAUCGAUUUGAGUAAAAAAGAAAACCAAACUAGAAUAACUUUCCCUAUGUCUAUCCAAGGUUGUAUUGUAUGAUAAAGCCCAAGGAUUCCUGGAAUGCCCUGCCAGGUUUGGUCAAGGACUGGUUUACACCACUACAGCCUCUGGCUAAGGUAAUCUCCAGAUGAAAAGUGGGAGAUGAAAGUAUCCCUGUACUUCCACACUGAUCAAGUUUUCUUCUCUAGGUAUGUGCACUGAUCAUUUUUGGGUGGUGAGCUUGCUGGACCUUGGAUCAGAUCUGCUACGUUUUCUCAUCAUUCUCCCACCCACACGACUGAGCCAAGCAUAGGAAUGAAAUCCUCCUGGCUGAGCAAAGCACCGAGAGCUGCCCCAGCAGAGCUGCUCAAUGCCUGACCUGCCUGGCUCUUGAAAGGGGAAAGGGAAAAGAUGUGCUCCCUGAAAAUAUGCUGGGAGAAAUCCCGCCUCCUUGGCCUGGAGGAGAACUCGAGUCAUGGUACAGCAGCACAGGCAGCUGCAGCAGGUCACUCUCCAUGCAUGUGCAAUAAACACCCAGAGCCACUGGAGCUGGCGGAUCAUUCCAGCAGCCUUGGGACUGUGCCAGCUGCUGAAUCGUGCUCCCAUUGAAAACUACAAGAGAACUCCCUUUUCCUCUCAGUAGGCUCACAGUUUUCCCCAGAGCAGCCAAUCCUUUUCAUAAUUUUCCUAAGCUCAUUAUCUCUGUUCCCUGCGACAGCGGCUUCCACAGGUGAAUCCAGCACUGCGGAAAACGUAUUUAAAAUGUGUCUGUUGUUGUUUUUUAUCAUAAGCACAUUUCUUGGUUUUGGUUUUUUGGGUUUUUUUUUUACAGCUUUCUUCUCUCAGCUUUUAAUUUUGGAAAACAGCACAUAAAAGUACUCAGUGUGCCUCUUCUGUGCCAUUCAUUACCCCACAUCUCUCCAUCGUGCCUCUGCUUAUUCAUCUCUUGUCUUAACUAAGCAGGCCUAAUCUUUUUAAAUCUCUUCUCAUAUGAAAGUUUCUCGGUGCCUUUAAUCAUUUUCAUUACCCUUCACUGAAUUCUUUCUUUUUUUUUUUUCUCUAUCAUUUCCAGAAUUGAAACAUAACAUUUAAGAAGAGGCUGCACCAUUGAGUUGCAUAACAGAGGUCAGCAAAUAACACCUGUCUGCAGCCAGCCAGGGAGAGAGCAGAGCAAAACGAGCCUGCAACUGAAUGUAUAAAGCUGAGCCUGUCCAUCAGAAAAGAUGAUCAUCUUUCAAUUUCCCCACUGGCUGAUCUUCCAUUUCACUGUCCAGGGAACCUGUUGUUAGUAUAACCUAACAAACAGCGGAACAGGCUGGGGAAAGAAGGCAUGGCAGACCAAGGAUUUAGGGAUUUGCUGAUGAAUCAUAUCACCUGCCUACUGAAGUCUGCACAAAGAAUAUGGGCUGGCAAGUUCAGAACUGGAGUUUUCCUGCAGCCACAGUGGCAAAGCUGAUAGAGGUGUUGUGGUUUAAACCCAGGCAGCAAAUACCACACAGCCACUUGCUCACCUCCCUGCCUUCACAGUGGGAUGGGGAGGAGAACCAUGGAGAAAAGAGAAAGCAAAACUUGUGGGUUGAGAGAAGGACAGUUUAAUAACUGAAACAAAGUAAAAUGAACACUACUAAGAAAAAGGAGACGGUUAGAGAGUAAACCCAAGAAAAACAGUAGAGUUGCUCAGCACCUGCUGACUGACACUCAGCCCAUCCCUGAGCAGCAGCUGGUCCCUUCCAGGAAACUCCUCCCUGUUUCAAUACUGAGCAUGACAUUCCAUGGCAUGGAAUAUGUCCUUGGCUAGUUUGGGUGAGCUGUUCCAGCUGUGGUCCCUCCUGGGUUCUGUGCACCUGCUCACUGGCAGAGGCUAAGCACUACUGAGCCACAAGCAAACCAUCACUGCGUUACCAACAGGAUUCUCAUGCUGGAUCCAAAGUGGGCACUGUACCAGCUACUGAGAAGAAAAUGAACUCUGUCACAGCCAAAAGCAAGACAGGGGCCAGGCCUUUCCUACCACGCCACAAACUGAGCUGCAGAGGUGCUGCCCGGUUCCUCCUUCAGUGACUGUGGAGGUGAGCCCAGUCUGUGAGCUCUGCUGGAGACCUUAGCUAGACUGGUCCAUUCCAGGAUGUCACAGCUCAGCAGAGCAGCACAGGCUGUCCCCAGGUGGCCCCAAGUGUUCCACUCUGUCACCAUAUGAGACAGGUUAAGUGAGCUUUAAUACCAAGUACUGCACAGAAGAGGAUUUCAGUUCUGCUCUCGUCUAGGCCAGGGAAAGUCUGCCCCAGAUCAGCCUUGGCACUGGGAGUCUGAUGGCUGAAAUGGAAAGAAAUUACCUUGGGUACAUCCAAGAUAGAGGUUUUGCUUUGCAGUAUUUAUGGGGAUUUCUUUCCCCUUCAUGGAAACAGCCCCCAAACCUCACAGUCUUAUUUUGGCAAAGCUCCCAUUAAAAUGAAUCAUGAAUUUGCCUGAGUUAGUGCUCCAGGACUGACUUCUAAAUUGUUGAAAGUGAAUGACAUGUAAGAAUUUAUGUCAAUUUUCCAAACUGUUCAGCAAAGGUAGACAAAAAUCCUGCUUUGAAGCUAGAAGGUGUGUGGCUGAACUCCUGGUCUGCCAUGAAAUCCCUCAGCCCAGGCUUUUUAGUGAAAAACAGUGCCUUUCAAGCCUCGUAUUUUAACCGCUGUUCUUCUGUACAAUGCAGAACUCUUUGUCUCGUUUCUUUGGUUCAAGUACAGCCUCCACCAUGACCAGCUUUAUGCUGUAAGUGACACCCUUGAUCACCAGAUGAUGCUCUCCUCAUGGGGAAUCUGUAGGUUCCUUCCUUUUCUCCCUCUUGCAAAAUAUUCUAGAGCCUGACCAGGCAAGUGUACCUUCCCAGAGGGACCCGUGGGUAUCACUGGAUCCCCGCACGGCACCUUCAGGGCAGUCAGACUGGACACCACACUUUGCUUUAGGCACUGCCUUUGCAUCUGUAGGAUCUGCCACAGCUACAGCACAGUCUGUGGCGUAACAGGCAGUGAACUCUUCCCUGGACUUGGGGGUUUCAUCUCUGAACCCCUCGCAGCCAGGGGUGUUUUGCUGAACUGGAACAACGUACAACAGACUGGGGCUGCUGGAGCUCGGGGUCCCCAGGUGUGCCUGACUCACACUGUCCCCAGGCAGUGACUGAGCUCGGGGUACAGCACCUGCAGGAAACCUUCACAGCCCGGCCCUUGAUCCCAGCCCCGGCUUUGCCACGGCCACGGUGCCCAGAGGGACCAGCUGCUUGUGUUCACAGCAACACCACUUAAAAAUUAGCAUCUUAGCAGGGAUUUCUGGACUUUCAUUACAGUGAAAUGUUUUCAGAAUUAUUCCUAAGUGGCUUUGCCUAGGAUUAAUUGGGUCUACAAACUAAUUAUUUUCUUUCUGCAGGUUAUAACAGUUUGUCUGCUGGUCUCUUGUCUUUUUAAGCUCCAGCUGGGGAGAUUCAGCUCUUCACUUCAGUGUCUCCCACCACUGGAUGUUUGUUAUUGAAAAGCAGCUUCUGCCAGAGCUGCAAACACAGCCAGGAAAGCCCAGAAUGCAAACUGGAAAAUGAUGAGGAAGAAAAGGAUUAAUUUCUUCCUCUAGAUUUUGCAAAGCCAUUACCUGUUCUUGAAUGACAUUUCCAAUUCGACACUGGGAACCGCUAAAGCAUUUACAUAAGAAUGCAAGAAUGCACGCAUUAUCACUGCAGGAAGCACUUAAAAUUUAAGAUAAUUAUAUAGUAUGGAAACCAUUUCAAAGGACUCAAACAAAAUAACAACUAAUUCUAGAGAGUCACCCUUUAAGAUGAUUAUUACUCUGCACUACUGCUGAUCUUCCACUAAAAAAAAUCCUUCUCUUUACAAUUAUAUGCACAUUAUAAAUUCCUACUUUGUUCUUCCACCAUCAAGCUCCUACAGCUGCCACUGACAAAUUUGCAUUCUCUGAGAGCUUAACUAGACAACCAAAAUAUUCACAGUGGGAACAGAGGUAAAAUACAAGAUUGCCAUGGUUGGAUGCCACCCCCCCUUCACCCCUGCCUCACACUGGGCCCUCUUCCCUGGGCUCCUACAGCACUGGUUUGCAACAGGGACACAGGGAGGAUCCUCUCAGGAACUUGACAUUUCUCUGCUACACAGUGAACAGCAGAAGAAAGAAUCCUACGCUGGAGUCAGCAGCUUGGGUGACACAUAAAAACCUGGCUGGGCGUCGUGGGGGGAACCCCUCUGCCUCCCACCUCUGCUGCUGUGUUUGCAGCAAGAGCAGCACUCUGUAACCCGGGAUGCUGCUUCUCAUCUGUGCAAAGUAAUAGAAAGCACUAAAAAUGUAUUAAGUCAGCUGCUUUCCAGACCAAAAAAUCACAUUUCAACUGAAGAAACCUGGCAUGGGAAGAGAGAAGCACACUUGUGAGGUGAAAAUGUUCUGCCCCACCAGCCUCUCUCUACCUGCUGCUUCCACUCCCCACUCUGACUCCUGCCCUCCUGCACCACUGCUGCCAUUCUCUUCUCUUUUCCCCAAGUGUCCCAGGGGAAAAAAAAAAAAAAAAAAUAUUCCACCUAGCUCUACUGCUCAAAGCAAACUCAUUUGGGGAAAACUUAUCUGCCAAAUCCUAAUAUGUUUUUAUUGGAUAUCUGCUGAGAGAGAUUUACAGCUCAUGCCAAAGUCAAACUCUUAUUUUUUUUUCCCCCACAGCAAGGGCAAAAGUACAACUCAGAGCAAAUGAAAAUUUCUUGUCUCAGAUAUUAUGGAGACUUAAGAAAGUCCCAUACCAAGGCUCUGACUUAAUGGACAAUAGAAAGUAUUUUCCAAGUCUACUUAUUGGAAAUAAUAGCAGUGAAAAGAGCUGAAACUUCCCCACAAACUUCAGCCUGAGAAAGAAAACUGAUAUAUUGAAAAUCUUAAAUUCUGACAAAGUACAGAGUAAAUUAAAACAGUAUCUGGUAAUGGGAAGAGCAGCCAGAUCACUAAUAGGUGUUGCUCCCUGGGCUGCUGCAGGUUUUUCACACAACUGUCUCAAACAAAGCACUGGAGGUCUGAACAAGCAGGACUGGCAAUGGGGCUCACAUGGGAAUUUCAUUAGGCUUGGACUAGAGAACAUUUCAGACAAUGCUGGCAGGAAUUCCCAUCUAUUAAAUACCCAUUUGCAGGAGCAGGACACCAGCAGCUUUUGCAGAACGCCCUCCAGAGCUGUGUGAAGGGUUACCAGGUACCUGAGCAGGCCAGCACAGGGCCAGGGCAUUCCCUGAGUUAUUUCAGUCCCCCGGGGCUACAGCUUUUCUCUUCUCUGCUCCCCUGGGCUACCCAGCCACUGCACUCCAGGGGCUGUUUCUGCUGGCAGGGAUGUGCUCAUGAAGCCUCUUACCCUUCAAACACAGACCUGUGUUGGAGUCCUGCUUCCCUACACCCAGCAGGAGCUGUGCUGCCCCUCAGGCACACAUCACCUUCCCUCCAGGCUGUCCCCACUGCUCCAGUCCUGCUGUUUGCUCCAGCAGGGCUGAGACUGCACUGACAUGUCUCCUUCCAUGUAUCUGCUUCUCCUGCAACAUGUUUUUGGGCAUAGAAAACUAUCUCGAGGAGUAGCCAGAGAUGCUCCCUUGCCUGCCUGAACCCUGAGUGGUCAUGACAAGGAGCAGCCACAGAGGCACCAAGGUGUUCUCUGCUCUUGAUAUGCCUCAUCCCAUCAAAGAUCACAGCUGUCUCUUCCAGUUUUCUCAGAUGAGAGAAGACAGGAGUUGCCAGCCUACAACAUCACUUUUUAAAACAGGCUUGCCAAACUCACUCCCAAAUGAAUUAUGUAAGUCUAUCUUAAACCAACCAGCUGCCCACCCAACACCCAGACUGCAAGGACCUGUCGAGACAGAGGGAAUUACACAGAAAACAAGAUGCUCUGUCCUUACAGCAGAGCCCAUCUUUCAUGUAUUGCUCUCACUGAAACCUUACCAUUACUGAAAAAAGACAGAAGAGCUGUGCCAAGUGAUGGUCUGGAUGUCAUCUUCUGCUGUGGACACCACCUCGUCUGACCUUUCCAGUCAGCCAGCACCGUUUGGGGUCAGGACACUGCAGCUGCCCAAUUCAAGCUUGACACUUCCCAGAGUGGCCCGGGACAAGUCUCUUCAUGACUUCAAGACUCAUUUCCCAGGGGGACACUCUGGGAAGCUGAACAUACUAAAAGGAGCAAAGCACUGUAUGCAAUUUCCUGCUUUGUAAGACAACAGUGAUUACAACUGUUAGAAGCAAUGCAUGUUUGCACUCCAUUGUGAAAAUGAGGACUACUAAAUAAUAUCUGAGUGUAAUCACAUUUACAUAGUUGAAGUGUGCAUAGAACAAAAUAGUCUUUGAAGAGAACCACCUCUCCUGCUCCCAGCAGCUGCAGCCAGUGUGAUGCAAGAAUGCAAAGGGCUGAAUUACUUCUGCAGCCAGGAAAAUGAUUUAUAUAUUUUUAAAUCAUUCAUGUGAAUUAUAUAAAAAAAAGGCAUAUAACCUAAGAAUUGAAUGAUGUAUAGACUAGUUCAUCACUGGGGUUUUAAUACGAUACCUCUAAAAUAUGCAUAUGGAUCAAUGAUUUACUAAUAAACUACUUUUACAAUACAGGCACACAGACAGAUGCAAAGCACAACAGGUUUAAACCCUUUAAACCCCCCAAUUUCCGUUCUCACUGAUACAAAAAAAAAAGUAUUUAUAUUAAGUUGGUUUUAUUAUCCCUUCAUAAGUCUUAAUCCAUUAGUGGGCUUCCUUCUACCACAGCACAUAAAUAGAUCAGCCUUUCAUCAUCAGAGACCUUUAUAAUAUUGCUGUUGUUCAUUUACUCUUAGUUUUCUGGGUAUGCUGAGCAUAUCCCAGGCAUGCAAGAAGGACCUACUUGCCCUAAAAAACUCCAGAUCAAAAAAUACACCUGAUAAAGAUGAAAAAUAUUCAUCAGAGGCAGCAGGAAAUAAGGGGAGCAGAGCAUGGCAGAGACAGGCAGCAGUGAUGUAAUUUCAACAUUUUUUUUAAAAAAGUAAAUCCUUAGAGCUGAAGUGCAUUUUAGAUUCAGUAGCAACUUCAGCACUCCCAGUAAACCCCUGGAAGUGCUGCAGUGCUUUAGGAAUGUGUGUUCCCGGUGCAUCACGACGCUUGGCUCCUGUGCUGCUCCCUGGUUUCAGAAACAGAACUCGUCUGCCAGCAGCACCUCCCAGCACUCAGAUGUUAUUCCCACAUGAGCAUUUUCACAAAGAAGGAAAUGAAAACCUCGUUCUUACAUGUUUUGCCCAAGGCUAAUGAGGAAUUUAUUGCCCAGCAUGGAUUAAAACCCCAGAACACUUCUUGCACCACUACUGUUUUUAGUACAGACUUUUUCUGUACUUCUGCUGACUCCACCAAGCUCUCCUGCACACUGAGGGCAAGACAAGUUUUGAGGCUCUUGAUUUAUUGGUUUUUAAACCCAUAAAAUGCCCAUAAAUAGUCCCAGUAUUUGUCCUUACCAUCUCCUGCUACAUUGCUAAACCUGUCUUUUGCAUUUUUCUGCAAAACUUUUCCCACUCAGAAGAUGCAGCAGGAUUUAGCUAGGACUAGCAGAGGAGUGCCCAGUCUCAAGUUCCACAAGGAUCAUGGUCACAUCUGCCUUUUCCAAAGUGAAAAGGCUCAGGAGCAGCCGCUGAGGGUCCAAGCCUCCUGCCUGCAGGAAGGCAGCUCUCAUCCCAGCAAAGAGGAGGCCGCUGCUGUAUUUACACUCACAUCACGUUCCUGUUUACAUCCACCACAGAUUCCAACUAGAGCAACUGCACUGUCCUCUGACUUCUUAGAAAAGCUGCAUACCAAGGAAAGCAGGGCACACCCCAUCCUUGGAGGUGCUCAAGGCCAGGCUGGACAGGGCUUGGAGCAGCCUGGACUAGUGGAAGGUGUCCCUGCCCUUUGCAGGGUUGGAACAAGAUUAUCUUCAGGGUCCCAUCCAGCCCAGGCCAUUCUGUGACUGUGUGACGAUUCUAGAUCUUCAGACCAACCCUCUGCACUUUAUUCCUGCUUUCUGGAGGGAGAGUUUCCUCUAGCAACACCUUGGUGACCUCCACCUGCACUAUCUGACUGCAAAGGCCAAGAGGGCAGUGAAACCUUUCAGGUGUUUUUACCUGAUAAAGCUCUUCUUACCUUGAGGCUGGCUGCAUGAACUAAGCUCUUGGCAAUGGCAAACUGCUGGCACCAGCACCUGGCUGGCAAAAAGAGGGAACUGGGCUACACCAGCAGCAAGGUGCUACCAUGGUUUUAAACAUCAAUUCUGCACUACAAAGCUUCUCCAUCCCUUGACAAAAUGAGUCCAUGGCGUGUUGGAAGGGAAAUCAGUGGGAGGAGCUGCUGGUGAUCACUCUAUACCAGUAAAACGUGGUUAAUGUGCAUCACCAGUUGCCCACUGCACCAGUUACAGUGUGUAGCUACAAGUCAAGUACUCUAUUUGUGUAAUUACAAGGAACUGGUCUCUGGGGGUUAUACAAAUAAUUCAGUAUACUAGCUAAAAAUGAGCUUUCUGAGAACAUUUACACUAGUAUAAUCUGAUGGGAUGCAGAGUUCUGGAAAAUAAAUGCCAAAGGGGGAUGAAAAAACAGCUAAAGCUAAUUUAUUUUUUAAAUCAAGUGAAUAUUAGCAUUUUUUUGUCCGUAUUUGCUCAGCUUUAAUGAAUGGCUUCUUCGCUUCUUCAUUGCUAUUUCUUCUUCUUGGGCAAUAUAUCUCAACUUGAGGAAUUGUAUCCAAGGUUCAGCUCAACUGCCAAGGAGUGAAAUGCAGUUAUAAUAAAGCUACACUGCACUACACGUGGGAGGCACCUUUGUCCAUCAGCCUUUCCAGGGAGCUUCUAAAAAAUAACCCCUGUUAUUAAACUAAUCACCUUGUGUCAAAUGCCAGCAUGACAAGAGAGACAAUUUACCUGGGUAAUAACUCAGCAAUAAAGGUAUGUACAGAGGAGGAGGAAAUUAGGUUGUUGCAGACACAGCAAUAACACAGUGAAGAAGAAUCCAAUAUUGGAAGAGAUAAAAGUUUUCCAUCCCAAUAUUCCUCCGUGACAAGUAUGAAAGAGUAUGCAUAAGAGCAAGGGGAAAAGAUGAAAGAUAGCAGCACAAAUGCUUUUGAAAAGUGAGCUAACAGGUAAUUAAUGCCUCCAAAGAAAGAAGAUCAGAAAGCUGGCACAGAUGCAGAUCUCAGUGCCACACACUCUGGGCGUUGCUCUGCUAAAUGCUCUGCGGAGGGGAUCCAGCCAGGGGCUGCCUCUCCCCGUGGGAGAAGCCUGCUGAGCUCUCCCCUUUCCACCCACGCAGGAACGUAACUGGUAGAAGGGGGCAAGCAGGGUAUUGGGGUGGCAGUGGUGGUGACAGAAACAAAAUGUGUAGCAGUGACAUGUUUUCUAACAGCAAUGACAGAUUUUAAUAAGCAAGCUAUUCUUCAGUUUUGAUUUGAGGUGUAUAUAAUUAGGUAAUGUGGGUGUUGAGUGAUAAAACCCACAAGAAACACACAAAUUACAAGCACUGAUUUUUUGAAACCAUGGCCUGUUUCAGACUAAAUGGCAUGACCUAUUUUUAUUGUAUUAUUAUAUUUGGAAAAUAAAACUUUUCUUUUUCA